rnacentral:rRNA from 1 species
AUUGAACGCUGGGGCAUGCCUUACACAUGCAAGUCGAACGGCAGCGCGUCCUUCGGGAUGGCGGCGAGUGGCGAACGGGUGAGUAAUACAUCGGAACGUGCCCGAGAGUGGGGGAUAACGCAGCGAAAGCUGUGCUAAUACCGCAUACGAUCUCAGGAUGAAAGCAGGGGACCGCAAGGCCUUGCGCUCACGGAGCGGCCGAUGGCAGAUUAGGUAGUUGGUGGGAUAAAAGCUUACCAAGCCGACGAUCUGUAGCUGGUCUGAGAGGACGACCAGCCACACUGGGACUGAGACACGGCCCAGACUCCUACGGGAGGCAGCAGUGGGGAAUUUUGGACAAUGGGGGAAACCCUGAUCCAGCCAUGCCGCGUGCAGGAUGAAGGCCUUCGGGUUGUAAACUGCUUUUGUACGGAACGAAAAGGUCUUUUCUAAUAAAGAAGGCUGAUGACGGUACCGUAAGAAUAAGCACCGGCUAACUACGUG